UCCUCUGUGGCGCAAUUGGCUAGCGCGUCUGACUGUUACGCAUCUUACGAGAUAGCCGCAAUCAGGAGGUUGACAGUUCAAGCCUGUCCGGAGGAG
rnacentral:tRNA from 1 species